rnacentral:lncRNA from 1 species
GGCGGCUGUGGACCUGGACUGGCUAGAAGACACUCUGUGGCAAAAGAACAGCUGAAGGCCCUAGAGAAAACCAGGUACAGAGACAAGGAAAAUGGGGAGCCAAAGACCAAGCAGCUCAGAGAAGAGGAGGAGGAAAGCAAGAAGCUCAGGGAAUUCAGGCUGCAGAACCAUGUCCCAGAGGAUGAGGACCUGAAAAGGAGGAGGGUUUCCAGGCCAAACCAGUUGCAGUGGAGGAGAAGAUGAAGGAGAAGCUGUAGGCAGCCAAGGCACAGCCUGUCAUUGAGGAGACGGACCUGGCCAACCUUGUACUCUAGAAGCCUGAUUGGGACCUAAGAGAGAUGCGGGCAAGAACCUGGAGAAACUAAACAAAAAGACUUGGAGGGCCAUUGCCGAGCUGAUCCGUGGGAGGCUAAAAGGCCCAAAUGACAGCCUAGUCUCUACAGGGGAAGCCACCACUGAACAAGAGGCCUGUGACAACUGA